rnacentral:rRNA from 1 species
AGGUUGAUAGGUCUGAGGUGGAAGUGUGGCGACACAUGGAGCUGACAGAUACUAAUCGAUCGAGGACUUAACCUAAUA